rnacentral:miRNA from 1 species
GUUCCCAUGCCAUCCAUUCCUA